CCCUGGCCAGAGAUACAUAGUAAGUUGACCCUGUAACUUUUUUUUCUUGUGUCUGAUAAGUAGUUGUCUGAAUCGCUUCACUAAUGAGAAAAGAAAAACAAUUAUGAUAAGUCUUUAUCUAAUUCCCUUGGGAUUGUUUCUUGUCCAUUUAGAUUAAGUUAAAACUUGAACUGCAUUCCUCACUGACAGUGCAGGACCUGCAUUUAGUUUCAAAAGUAAAUUCUCAUUUUGUGUGCCAAAUUAAGUUAGACUAAGAAUGAUUAAUCCUACUUAUCAAUUGAAAGGCCUGGAAAAGGAUGUUAUCAUUUUCUAAUAAAAAUAAUAUUUAUUUUGUGCCAAGUGCAUGGUUUACAGUCUAGAGUUGGUAGAAUCUUAGGGAGUUGAACCUGUGAGACUAUAAGUCACUAACUGAUUAACAGGAUUGAUUCACGUGAAUUCAUGUUUAGGCACAAGACAUUACAGGUUGGAUUUUGCACAUUUCUUUUUCAGGUUACUGCUUUAUUGGUUUGGUCUUAUGUUUGCAUUUGUGGGCUUUCCUUCAGGUCAUAUUGAGACUGAAAAGAAGUUUGGUGUACUUUCUACCUUAUUUGAAUAUUCGAUACGAGUUGCCAAACCAUUUGCCUUGAAGCCCUCCAGGCCCGUGAGAAUGCUAUAGACACUUACACAGUUUUUGAUGGUUAUGCGAAGAUGCUUACAAUUUUUAUUCCACUUCUGGUGGAUGAGAGUUCAUUUUUUGCACACUUCAUGUGCUUUGAAGUCUCUACACUCGUUCCUCCUGGAGGUGUUGUUUUAAAGUGUUAUUGCUAGUGUGUCUCAAACAGUGUGCAAUCUGUGUUUGUUGUGAUCUAUUUGGGAAUAUUUGUUGUUUUUGAUUUGGUGCAGUGUAAAAGAUGAGCGUGAGCGUGAACCUGUGAUAUAAACAAAUGCCUUAGCACAUCUUGUGGACGCUCUGAAAUUGCAAGGAGGUUUGAAUUAAUGACAAAUAUCAAGCAUGUGCAACCAAGAAAAAGGGAGUUUCUUUUAUAUCAAAUGCUUCUGAUAUGCUUAAAUUAUGUUGUAUGGCCUGUAAUUGAUAGGAUUAUAAUUGUUUGAUCUGCUGAAUUAGUGGAAUUGUUUGUGCACUAUCAGUUGAGAUAUUAUUUUGAGAGCAAUAAGGAUCAAUUUUGUGCAUCAAGUUUACAAGACCGAGAAAGGGAGGUUCAAAUUGCUUUAUCUUUUUGUGCAAACUGGUUUGGUUAAGGGUGUAAGUGUAAACAAUCUUGUUCAUUUGUGUUGUAGGAUUGGAACAUCAAGCUUUAUGAUGAGAUCGAGCUAGUUGACGGCCACAUUUUGAUAUAGUGAAGUGUUGCAGCAGUAGACCGUACCAAGAAAGUAGCAUAGCUUUUGUUUUUUAUUUUUCUUAUAUUUGAUUUGUAAUGGGUUUGUGUCAGCGCAUUGUUACUCUUAGUUUUAGCUUUGGUAUGUAAAAGGCCUUUUAUAAAGUCCAAGUGUUUUGAAGGAGUUCUUAGCACUUUUUCCAACUCUUGGCAAUUUUGAUUGUUCUUUUCAAAUUUGACAUAGUUAGACAGGUGAGUGUGUCUUGUUAGCCAAAGGUACAAGCCUUAUCAUAGGAGUAGAAUUUUAUAUUGUUUGAUUGUCUUUUGUAUUUUGUGAUCAUGAUUUAGGGGUCAUUAGAGUUCGUUAAUUGUUUGUGUUUGUUUGUUAGUUGAAUCUUUUGAUUUUAAAAGUAAUUUUAUUUUAAAGGGUAUGUGUUCGUGUGGGUGUGUGCAUGUAUAUGUGUCUAUGCUUGCAAGAGUGUGGGAGUGUGUUUGGGUGGGUGUGUGUAUAUGUUUGCGGGAGUGUGCAUGUGUGCAUGUGUGUGUGUGUGUGAAUGUGCGUAAUAUGUAU